UGGACCAUUGCACCCAUAUACUAUACUUGAGAUUACCAGAUAGAGAAAUCCUAGCUACGAUGAGGUGGAGACCGGACAUGCUGUCUGGAAUGGUAAGCGCCUGUAAACACAAUAGAUGAUAUCCAUCUACUGUUUGCAGCUGCAAUGGAAGAGUUAGGUCGAGUGGUUCUGGCCCGGGAGCCAUGAAUAGAAAUAAGGAUGUAUAGUAUAUGAUUUCUUCGGCCACUGGCAGUACAAGAAAUAUAUGAUGUCCUUUUGAUUCGGAUGCAAUAAUUUUAUUUUGAAAUAGUUGUGAAAUGGGGAGGUGGCUUUUGUAUAGGCAUGUCAAUCUAGUGACGACUCUAUCAUAAAUCAUCAUAUUAUGGAAAAUAAAAAACAAUUGUUGCUACGAUCCAUGUGUUGGAAUAAUUACCAGUAUUUGGAAUAACUUGAUAUAGAUUAAAUACCUGAUGACAAUGUCGGCAAUCUUAGUAAUGUCGAGUGAUUUUUUUUUGUCGGGUACUAAAAUCGGUAAUAGAGGAGUCCUGGAGUUCCACCCAUUGUUAUUGUCUGUCUUCUUCUUCCUCAGUUCAAUUGUUUCGCUGUCACACCACUACUCUUCCCUUUUCAACCGUCCACAUUUUUCCUUUAAACCUUUUCAUGCUGUUGUUUUUUCAAUUCAUUUUAUGCCUGCAGAAUUUUCCACUUCCUUUUCUCAAGUCAUCACUAUCACUCGUCCCC
rnacentral:lncRNA from 1 species